AAACUGGGGGUUGCGAAGCGAAAAACUUGUAAUUUCUUUUUUGUUUUUGACGGAAGUGGUGGAGUUUUGUCGGAGGAUUUAUUUUCCGGCUAAAUGUGAACCUGAUCGGGGUUUGGAGGAGAUUCUGCUGCCCGGAGGCCAGCCAGUGUCGCAGCGUUAAGGCCGUCAAAAAUCCGAAACGCAGAAUAACCCGGACCCCAAAUACGAUUCGUUUUGGCUGUCCAGAUAGGAGACCAUUUGCAUUCUAAAAAGUGGGAGUUUUUUUGACACAAAAUGUUAAUACAAAAUUACCGGAUUAAGUAAAAUAUAAGACAAAAAUACUACAUACUA